AAAUUGAAGAGUUUGAUCAUGGCUCAGAUUGAACGCUGGCGGCAGGCCUAACACAUGCAAGUCGAACGGUAACAGGAAGCAGCUUGCUGCUUUGCUGACGAGUGGCGGACGGGUGAGUAAUGUCUGGGAAACUGCCUGAUGGAGGGGGAUAACUACUGGAAACGGUGGCUAAUACCGCAUAACGUCGCAAGACCAAAGAGGGGGACCUUCGGGCCUCUUGCCAUCAGAUGUGCCCAGAUGGGAUUAGCUUGUUGGUGAGGUAACGGCUCACCAAGGCGACGAUCCCUAGCUGGUCUGAGAGGAUGACCAGCCACACUGGAACUGAGACACGGUCCAGACUCCUACGGGAGGCAGCAGUGGGGAAUAUUGCACAAUGGGCGCAAGCCUGAUGCAGCCAUGCCGCGUGUAUGAAGAAGGCCUUCGGGUUGUAAAGUACUUUCAGCGGGGAGGAAGGUGUUGUGGUUAAUAACCGCAGCAAUUGACGUUACCCGCAGAAGAAGCACCGGCUAACUCCGUGCCAGCAGCCGCGGUAAUACGGAGGGUGCAAGCGUUAAUCGGAAUUACUGGGCGUAAAGCGCACGCAGGCGGUCUGUCAAGUCGGAUGUGAAAUCCCCGGGCUCAACCUGGGAACUGCAUUCGAAACUGGCAGGCUUGAGUCUUGUAGAGGGGGGUAGAAUUCCAGGUGUAGCGGUGAAAUGCGUAGAGAUCUGGAGGAAUACCGGUGGCGAAGGCGGCCCCCUGGACAAAGACUGACGCUCAGGUGCGAAAGCGUGGGGAGCAAACAGGAUUAGAUACCCUGGUAGUCCACGCCGUAAACGAUGUCUACUUGGAGGUUGUGCCCUUGAGGCGUGGCUUCCGGAGCUAACGCGUUAAGUAGACCGCCUGGGGAGUACGGCCGCAAGGUUAAAACUCAAAUGAAUUGACGGGGGCCCGCACAAGCGGUGGAGCAUGUGGUUUAAUUCGAUGCAACGCGAAGAACCUUACCUGGUCUUGACAUCCACAGAACUUUCCAGAGAUGGAUUGGUGCCUUCGGGAACUGUGAGACAGGUGCUGCAUGGCUGUCGUCAGCUCGUGUUGUGAAAUGUUGGGUUAAGUCCCGCAACGAGCGCAACCCUUAUCCUUUGUUGCCAGCGGUCCGGCCGGGAACUCAAAGGAGACUGCCAGUGAUAAACUGGAGGAAGGUGGGGAUGACGUCAAGUCAUCAUGGCCCUUACGACCAGGGCUACACACGUGCUACAAUGGCGCAUACAAAGAGAAGCGACCUCGCGAGAGUAAGCGGACCUCAUAAAGUGCGUCGUAGUCCGGAUUGGAGUCUGCAACUCGACUCCAUGAAGUCGGAAUCGCUAGUAAUCGUGGAUCAGAAUGCCACGGUGAAUACGUUCCCGGGCCUUGUACACACCGCCCGUCACACCAUGGGAGUGGGUUGCAAAAGAAGUAGGUAGCUUAACCUUCGGGGGGGCGCUUACCACUUUGUGAUUCAUGACUGGGGUGAAGUCGUAACAAGGUAACCGUAGGGGAACCUGCGGUUGGAUCACCUCCUUACCUU
rnacentral:rRNA from 1 species